rnacentral:rRNA from 1 species
GGAGGGUGCAAGCGUUAUCCGGAUUCACUGGGUUUAAAGGGUGCGUAGGUGGGUUGGUAAGUCCGUGGUGAAAUCCCCAAGCUUAACUUGGGAACUGCCGUGGAUACUAUCAAUCUUGAAUAUCGUUGAGGUUAGCGGAAUAUGUCAUGUAGCGGUGAAAUGCUUAGAUAUGACAUAGAACACCGAUAGCGGAGGCAGCUAACUAAGCGAUCAUUGACACUGAGGCACGAAAGCGUGGGGAGCAAACAGGAUUAGAUACCCUGGUAGUCCACGCCCUAAACGAUGAUUACUCGACAUACGCGAUACACUGUGUGUGUCUGAGCGAAAGCAUUAAGUAAUCCACCUGGGAAGUACGAUCGCAAGAUUGAA